rnacentral:tRNA from 1 species
AUCUAAAUAGUUUAAGUGUAUAAAAUGUUGGUUUGUGGUGUCGACGAUGUGCUGUAUGUGUGCUUUAGAUU